GAUGAAGAACGUAGCGAAAUGCGAUAAGUAAUGUGAAUUGCAGAAUUCAGUGAAUCAUCGAAUCUUUGAACGCACAUUGCGCCCAUUAGUAUUCUAGUGGGCAUGCCUGUUCGAGCGUCAUUAAUUCCACUUAAGCCCUGCUUAGUGUUGGGAAUCUACUCUAGUGGUGCUACCCUGGAGCUACCCCUGAAAGGGGGCUGGCCCGGUAGCUACCCUGUAGUUCCUCAAAGAUAGUGCGCGGAGUUGCGUUGUCCUCUGAGCUUAGUAACUAUACACCUAGCUUUUGAGUGUCCCGCGGCGCCUGCCGUUUAAACCCCAUCUUUUAAUGGUUGACCUCGGAUCAGGUAGGAAUACCCGCUGAACUUAAGCAUAUCAAUAAGCGGAGGA
rnacentral:misc_RNA from 1 species